AGAGUUUGAUCCUGGCUUAGGAUGAACGCUAGCGGCAGGCCUAAUACAUGCAAGUCGAACGGGAUUGCCUCCUUCGGGAGGCAUGAGAGUGGCGCACGGGUGCGCAACGCGUAUGCAACCAACCCCCGACAGGCGGAUAGCCGGUGGAAACGCCGGAUAAUACGCCAUGGUUCCCCCGGGAGGGCAUCCUCCUUGGGAUAAAGCUACGGCGGUCGGGGACGGGCAUGCGUCCCAUUAGAUGGUAGGCGGGGUGACGGCCCACCUAGUCCGCGAUGGUAGGGGAUCUGAGAGGACGGUCCCCCACACUGGUACUGAGACACGGACCAGACUCCUGCGGGAGGCAGCAGUAAGGGAUAUUGGUCAAUGGGGGCAACCCUGAACCAGCCAUGCCGCGUGAGGGAAUGAGGCCCUACGGGUCGUGAACCUCUUUUAUUCGGGGACAAGGACGCGGUCGCGAACCGUGUUUGAGGGUACCGAAGGAAUAAGCAUCGGCUAACUCCGUGCCAGCAGCCGC
rnacentral:rRNA from 1 species